rnacentral:tRNA from 1 species
GCGUUCGUGGUGUAGUGGUCAGCACACUCGGCGCGUAUUCGAGAUGCCCGUGGUUCGAGUCCCGGCGAGGGCA